GUUUGGUGGAGAACUCUUCAGAGUCAUUUAAGUGAUUCCCUCCCUCACCCCUCUCCACUUUUCCCCAGGGCUUCCGUCUAAGUUCCAAAGUGCUUUUGAGGAGCCAAAAGGUCAAGGAUGGAGCGCACCUGUCCUCCCCACCAUCUGCCCACAGCAGCACCCCUACGACAACCAUCGCCCCUUCUGGUCAUCACCAGGCACACCCGAGCAGCAAGGUCUUACAAGAUACGGUGUCACGGCGGCUGUCGUAGACACGGGAUCUCACAAAGACAGCCCCACGAGUGAGAUGAACGGCCCUUCAGUCCGGUGAGACUGCGGGUCCUUGGAGACGAGGUCAGGUGUGCACAGACUGUGACCUAGUUGAUGGCAGGUCAUUAACUUCCAGAACCGUCAGCUGUCCUUGAGCCCCCAGGGCACUGGCAUCCUGAAACACGAAAGACUCCAGAGCCCCUGCCUUGCCAGCAUCUCUGAUAUCUGAGCAGCGGAGAGUGGCAGCCCCGAGGGCUUUGGGACGUGUGCCCGCCAGUAACUGGGAUUCAGUGCCAGUGCCCACUAACAAACGGUGGCCUCCAGGAGGUCCCACAAGCCCCUCUCACUUUGCACUUUCCUGGGGGCACAACCGACGUCAAUAGUGAAGAAGAAGCCAAGCAUCCUGCACAGGAAAGAAUUUGCCGCAAAUGAGGUCUGGCCCUUGUGCUCAGCUUCCGGCAUGGACUCCGCGUCAUUCGUGACAGGAUACACCAGAUCGUAGGGUGGGAUCGGCCACAGCUGAUCGUUGGAGGGGGAGAGCUGGCCCUGCCAGAAAGACCAAGCCCGUGACUUAGGUGGGGGACUUUGGCGGAGAGCAACCAGUGGACAAUCACUCAGUCGUGUCAAGGUAAGGAGACCCCAAAACUUCUGCACAUCAAGGCUCAGGUGAGCUUCCCCAGUGGCGAAUAGCCCAUGUGUGACAAAACACAUCGAUGCCAGGGAGUCAGAAGCGGGCGUUUGGGACCCUCGCGCACACUGCUCCUUGUGUCUCUUCCUUUGGCUGAUUCUAAUCUGUAUUCUUUUCCUAUGAUUUAGCGUAACUGUGGGUAUAAUAGCUCUCAGCGGGUUCUGUAAGUCUUCCUUCUAGUGAAUUAUCAAAACUGAGGGGCGUUUGUGAACUCACUCCCACAACCUUGCUGUGGUGUCAGAAGUGAGGACAGUCUUGGGGGCUGUGCCUUCAAACCUCAUAGUCU
rnacentral:lncRNA from 1 species